AUGGUUGCCAUGACAACCAUGGGGCUGACUCAAGUUAUAUCUGGGCCCACACAUCAGGCGGGACACACGUUGGACCUGGUUUUUAUUGUGGACGGUGGGACAGUCAGAGUGGAAGAGCAAAAUAUUCUUCCAUUGUCAUGGUCUGACCAUCAUCUGAUCUGUUUAAGUUUCACCGUAGCUUCUAACCUCUGCAGGAGUGGUGGACCCAUUAAGAUGGUCCGCCCCAGGAGGCUGAUGGAUCCGGAUGGACUCCUGAGGUCUCUUGGGGAUCUUCCUGUUCUGGAGACUGGCGAUCCUGUUGAUGUCCUGGCUGAUCGUUAUAACAGCGAGUUGGCAAGGGCACUUGACACGAUCGCUCCCGAACGUCCCCUUUCGCUGCGUAGAGUCACGUCGACUCCUUGGUUCACUGAGGAGCUGGCUGUGAUGAAGCGUGCGAGGAGGGGACUAGAGUGCAUCUGGAGGAAAUCUCAGGAUGUGUCUGACCAAGCACGGGCUAAAACCGCUAUUAAGGCUUACUCCGUGGCUCUGCGAGCAGCCAGGAAAGCUUUUACGACUGCCCGCAUAGCGUCUGCAGCCAACAGGCCAUCGGAGUUGUUCCGAGUUGUUGGGGAGCUCCUGCGGCCUCCUGAGACCCAGGGGCUUCCUGAUGACUUGGCAACUCGGUGCAGCGAUUUCGCGCACCAUUUUGCAGGCAAAGUUGCUCAGAUACGUCGUGAGUUGGACUCCAGCUUAACUGUAGUUCCAGCGGAGGUAACCGAGGUACCUGUCUGUUCGAUUUUAUGGGAUUCUUUCCGGCUUGUCCUUCCUGAUGACGUGGAUGGGAUUCUUGGGUCUGUGAGGGCGACCACUUGCGCUCUGGAUCCUUGUCCUUCUUGGCUGGUUAAGCUGGCCAAAGAUGGGUUGUUGGAUUGGUUUGUGGCUAUAAUAAAUGCCUCCCUGGUUCAGGGGUCAGUUCCAUCCUGCUUUAAGCAGGCGGUAGUAAAACCGUUAUUAAAAAAGACCUCCUUAGACCCAUCUGUAUGUAACAACUACAGACCAAUUUCCAACCUCCCAUUUUUGGGCAAGGUUCUGGAGCGGGUGGUUGCCACGCAGCUCCGGGAGUUCCUCGACGACACUGAUUUUCUGGACCGCUCGCAGUCUGGCUUUAGGCCUGGGUACAGCACCGAGACGGCCUUGGUCGCCUUGGUGGAUGACCUCCGCAGGGAGCUGGACAGGGGGAGUGUGACCCUGCUGGUUCUCUUGGACAUCUCAGCGGCUUUCGAUACCAUCGACCAUGGUAUCCUUCUGGGGAGGCUCGCCGGGAUGGGACUCGGUGGCACGGUUUUGCUGUGGCUUCGG
rnacentral:lncRNA from 1 species